rnacentral:ncRNA from 2 species
UAGCAGCACAUAAUGGUUUGUGGAUGUUGAAAAGGUGCAGGCCAUACUGUGCUGCCUCA